CCGGGGGCGCGCAGGCGCUCAGCAGUGUUGGGGCGAGGGCGGAGGUGGUAAAGGGUUGAAGACGGAGGAGGGAGUGCCUGGGAACAGGCGACACUUGCCUGGCGCGGUGCCUUGCAGCUGGCGGCGGGUGGGGCCGCCGGGCCGGCCGCCGCUUUCUUCUGUCGAUGGAGGCUGCUGACGGGAAAAGGAGCCGGGAGGGGAGCUCCCCGGCCCAGGCCCUUUCCCCUGAAAGUCUGCGAGAGCCUAGGGCCGGGUAAGCCAGGUAGAGGCUCUGGGCCGUGUUACAAACGGACGUUGCGAAUCGCAAAGAUCAGUCUUCUAGCCUUCUCCGUGCCUAUUACGGGCUCUUGUGACCAAUGGCGAGUCACUUACCCGGGCCUCAGUUUCCCCACUCUUCUAGAAGGCUGGCGACCUGAGAGUGGCCAAGAAGAAAAGAAAGUUCACGUCACAAACACUACCUGCCUAAGAACUUUUACAGAAAGCUUCUGACAAGACUUGAUGAGAUGCUGUGGCUGACAAGCAUAUGAAAAAGGAUUAAAUAACUUGAGCUCUGGAGUGAACAGUUAAAUCCCUGGAUUGUUGAAAGUUCCCUUCAUUACAUGGGACUCACCAUUUUUUGUGAGGUUUUGCGGUCCAGACUUAAAGGCUAGUUAUGGUUCUGAAUUGCCUUUAGGUUGCAAGAAUUACCAAUGUGGUAUGUAAUGCCGAAGAAGAAAAAAAUGUUAUGAUAAUCGUAAUUGUCUUAAUUGAUAAUUGCCAUCAUAGCUCUCCCCUGGAGAUAACUGAUGAGGCCUAAUAGUCGUUUUGAGCUGCAACCACCCACAAAAACCACACACAUGGCAUUUUACUCAAAUCUUUACUUUAACCACUACUUUGUGAUGCAAAACUGGUGGAAUUUUGGGUACUUUCUGUAAAAUUGAAAUCUUUAUGGGGGUUUUCCAGCAUUCUAGUUGAUUGUUAGCAAAUUAUCAGUAUACUGAACAAGAGCAAAGUGGGGUUUGCUACUAAACACCUACUUCUGUGGUAGGAUAGGAUGCCAGUCAUCUAUAUGUGAAUGUUUUCAUCAGGAGGAAGCCACCUUCAUUCAAAGAACAGAUUCUCCUUUUGAAAAAUGCUGUUAAGUAAGAAGUGUUAUAUGAGAUUGGUAGCUGUAAAAGAGAGAUUUUAAGAGCUUCUUUGCCACAGUUUUCAGUCUUGACAAAGUACUCAUAUUCAGUACUUUCUAAUUUGUAGAACCCUUGUAAAAGUAGAUUUGUAAAGAAAAGCAAAUCAAUUUGCAUCGUAGGACAAAGCGCAAUUCUCCCUAAGAACUUUCUGUGAAAGGAGAACUGUUGUGGCGAACUGAUUUCUGAUGCGAUACUACAGCCCCAUUCUGAAAGACAGGUAGCAAGUGGGAAGACCGUGCUCUAUAUUUGGCUAAGUCAGGAGACCUUUGUUUGUUCUGGAACUGAGUCCGUAGGCCAAUUGCUUCACCUCUCGAUGUCUCAAUUUCUUUUCUCUCUUUUUCUCUUACAGUAAUCUCUACGCCCAACAUGGGGCUUGAACUCAUGAUCCCGAGAUCAAGAGUCGCAUGCUCUACCACCAAGGCCAGCCAGGCACCCCUCUAAGUCUCAAUGUCUUAUCUUUAAAAUUAGUUUCACUCCUGCUGUAUGGUCUGGUAGAUAAAGCAUAUUGUCUCAAGAGCCUUCUAGGAGCCCUUUGUAAUAUCCUGUCUUAUAUAAAAGUGACUUUUAUUGUCAUAUAAUUUACACCUUCUAUCAAGCACCUAUUCUUUAAAAAUCUGUAAAAACAUUAUUUUAGCAAAAACCAACUCUACUUCUAGAAGUAUGUAGUUAUACCCCUUUUGUGUUUAGUGUUUUUGAAGGAGUAAAUUUCCAUCUAUGCAGCCCAGUAGUCAGCCUUAAAAUAACUGUCAGAAACUUCCAGGCUAUUUCUCAUUCAUGCAUUACCAUGCUCAGUAGGAGGAUAGUAGACCAUGCUCAGUAGGAGGAUAGAGAAAUCUAGAAUUGAAUUUUUAACAGGUUACUUCCUUAGUUUACUGUGAAGAUCUUGAUAAUUUCCCACUAGCACAUAAGUAAAGCUUUGUUUAGUUUGCUGUACUGCAUAGACUGUGUUGGUUAGCUUCCAGAAAUAAAGUAUGCUUGCUUUAUAAUUUAUGUUGGGAAAUAUUUAAACAGGAUGAAAGAGCAGUUUUUACAGGACCCAAAUCAAGCAAUCCAUUUUCAGAAGGCACACCAAAUAAAAAAAUUGGCUGAGUGAAGAACAAUGAAUAAGAAGCAUGAACUUGGAAACAAACCAAUUAAGUUGAAUCAAAUUUUAAAGAAUGAAAUAAAAGAAGUUGUAUUUUGUAUGUGUGUGGGAACCUUCCAGUGAACUGGAUGGGACCGGAGAGACAAAGCACACACACUGCCACGCCGUCCUGAGCAGCCUGAGAGACGAAAGAGAAACCCGAAGAGGAGCGCAGGUGGUGGGCUUCAGCAGAGACGGCGCUUUGGUUUACAGGUUCAAGUGCAUGUUGAUCUUGGGCCUGCCUUGUUACGGAAAAAUUUGGUGGAGAUACACUGCAUUGACUGGAAAAUUAUUCAUUUGUUUCUUUUAAGUUAUCAAAUUUAUAACGUAGGAGCAGUGGUUAUGAAACUAGUCAUUUAACUGGAAUUCAAUCCUGACCUAGUUCCCAACAUUGGGUGGUAAUUAUUCGUAUUUACCAAAGCAUAGAGAGAAUCAGUGUUAAAAGAGCAAGCAGGCGGGCAUUGCUUUGAGGAGGGAACACGUUUUACUACCUUUGGGUAGACAAGUCAGCUUAGUGCUGUGAAGCAUUUCUGACUGUCUUGUUGAAGGCCUCCACGCCCUGGACAUGAAGGAAAAGAAACGGCAACUGUUCUGUUGCAGACAGCAAGUCAGAGCCCCCAGUCCCAGGAGAGCCCCGGAGGCUGGAGCCUCAGCAGAACCCAUGCCUGACUUUCCCUCGGCAUGUCCGGGCGCUCACUGCUGAGGACAGUCUGCUUGGCAGCCACUCAUCUAGAAGAAUGAAUGAACGUCGUAUUAAACACUCCCUGAUAUUUGUUCAAGUCGAUCUCCUCAGAGUUCUCCCUAAUCAGCUUGACAUCGUUGAUAGCUGCCAUCAGUUGGUAUAAGAAAGGCCAUUCAGUCUCCAUCCUUUUUUUUGGAUAUCUACAGCUUACACCUGAAAACAGUUUUUCUCACCACUGUUUAACCAGUGGGCCAAGACGACUCCUGCUACCUCUCUUCCUUGUGCCCACAUGUUUUUCUCCUAAAAAGUAUGCAUCAUAGGUUCAACUGAAGAGGCUGUUCUAAGAAAGAUGACUGAGGAAAAAACACUUGGCAUUUAUCUGUGAACCUACAAACACACGCGCAUCCGUAAGCCUCACUACUGAGCUGCUUCACCUACAACAGCGUUCCGUCGAACAGUGUAUCCUUCUGUGGGUUUAUAGGUUGGCAAACUCUUGACUGAAGUGGUUUUACUUAAGGUCAGCCCUGCCUAGAUAGACUCAAAGAAGAGAGGAGAAAAUCCUCUCUUACUGUUCAUAGACUCCAGCAAGAGUUGAGGGGCAAGUCACCAGCACUGUCACUGCCGUGACAGUGACUUGGAAGAAAGCAGCAUACAGCUUGAGUUCUUAAGGGUGAAAGAGAUCAUGAGCUGUCUGGAGAUUCUCUCAAUUCCUCAAUCCUUUCCAGAUCCCCCAUUUUACUCACCUGCCCUGUGCACUCUGACCCUGAAGACUGACUAGCUUGUUCCCAUAAGUCUCCUCUCUCCCUCCUGACACCUACAUCCCUGCUCUGGACAAGGACCCUCUUUAGUAGUUCAUGAACUCCCACCAGCACUUUGCAAGUUGCUUCAUUGAACUGUAGCGCUAACGACGGCGUAAGAGACACUUUGGUUCAACUCUACUUUAUAGGUGGUCACGCCAAGGCCCUGAAAAGCAGUGGGUUUGUGAAAGGAGAAAUUGAAAGCCUCGUCCACCUGUGUAACUGCACGCACACAGGACUACACCUAAAUACCAGUAGCUUUUCCUUCCCACGUUCCUUAGCAACACGCCAGCAGGCCUCAUUAUCAAGAGGUGUCUUCAAGACGCCUGAGUGUAUGUACGGUUGGCCCUUGAACAUCAUGGGGCUUCAGAGGCACUGACUCCCGCACAGUUGAAAACCUGCACAGAGCUUGUGACUCCCCAAAAACUUAACAAUAGUCUACUGCUGAUGGAAUCAAUAUCAAUUAACAUAUUUUGUAUGGGGGCACGUCUGCCUUCGGCUCAGGGCAUGAUCCUGGAGUCCUGGGAUCGAACCCUGCAUCGGGCUCCCUGCUCAGUGGGGAGCUUGCUUCUCCC